UACGUAGGGUGCGAGCGUUGUCCGGAAUUAUUGGGCGUAAAGAGCUCGUAGGCGGUCUGUCGCGUCGGAUGUGAAAAUCCAGGGCUCAACCCUGGACCUGCAUUCGAUACGGGCAGACUAGAGUUCGGCAGGGGAGACUGGAAUUCCUGGUGUAGCGGUGAAAUGCGCAGAUAUCAGGAGGAACACCGGUGGCGAAGGCGGGUCUCUGGGCCGUAACUGACGCUGAGGAGCGAAAGCGUGGGGAGCGAACAGG
rnacentral:rRNA from 1 species